rnacentral:rRNA from 1 species
CCUACGGGUGGCUGCAGUGAGGAAUAUUGGUCAAUGGCCGUAAGGCUGAACCAGCCAAGUCGCGUGAAGGACGAAGGAUCUAUGGUUUGUAAACUUCUUUUAUAAAGGAAUAAAGUUAUCCACGUGUGCCUAUUUGCAUGUACCCUAUGAAUAAGCAUCGGCUAACUCCGUGCCAGCAGCCGCGGUAAUACGGAGGAUGCGAGCGUUAUCCGGAUUUAUUGGGUUUAAAGGGUGCGUAGGUGGUUUUUUAAGUCAGCGGUGAAAGUUUGUGGCUCAACCAUAAAAUUGCCGUUGAAACUGGAAGCCUUGAGUGGGUUUGAGGUAGGCGGAAUGCGUGGUGUAGCGGUGAAAUGCAUAGAUAUCACGCAGAACUCCGAUUGCGAAGGCAGCUUACUAAGCCAUAACUGACACUGAAGCACGAAAGUGUGGGGAUCAAACAGGAUUAGAUACCCUUGUAGUC